GUUAAAAGCAAAGGCCAAUCUUGUAAUGAACACCACAAAAAUUUCGUCUCUUCAAGCUGUAUUGGCUCACGUUUGGAGAUCCGUCAUACGUUGUCGUCAUCUUGAUCUUAGUGAAGAAACUACCUUUGAGGUAUCCAUUGACAUGAGGGGAAGAUUGAAUCCUCCUUUACCCGAAGGGUUCUUUGGAAAUGCAAUUUGCCCUGCUACCGUAACCAUCAAGACAGGAGAGCUACUCGAGCACGAAUUUGGAUGGGCCGCUUUACAAAUCAAUGAGACGAUUGCUCUCCAUGAUCAAGAAAAGUUGAAGUGCAUAUACGAGAGUUGG
rnacentral:misc_RNA from 1 species